rnacentral:lncRNA from 1 species
UGUGUGGUUUUUUAGUGGAAUUUUCAGUUUAUGUUAUUUUAAAAUAAUUUUUUACAAUAGGUUAAGAGUACAUAAACCUGUUUUCUAAGGUAAGGGAUAAUGGGAUUGCUAAAAUACAGGGACAUUCUCCUCAUACACACACAAACACAUCUACAAUCUCAAGGGGCUCCCCUACUCUGAGAAGCCCACCUGUAGACAAGACCUUAAAAACAAGGCUCUGCCAUGUGCCGGCCUGAGCCAAUACUCCUACCAGAAUGUAAACUCCCCAAGGAGUUUUAUCUGUUUUCUCUCUUUUAUCUGUUUUGUUCACACCUGUGUCCCUAGUGCCCAGAACAGUGCUGGGGACCUUGCCCUCCUAGGGCUUACAUUCGAAUGGGGGAGAAAGAUCAUAAGGAAAGCUACAGUAUCCUAUUAAGGAGAGGUAAAUGCAAUGAAGGAAAACACAGAAGUGAGGGAGAGUAACAGGGGAUGCUAUGUUAGAUGGUCAGGGAAGGCCUGAAGUUGACUCGAAUGGCACGAGGGCGAGAGUCUGAGGAGAUCUGCGGGAAGGGUAUUUCCCACUGAGGGAGGCGGAGUGCAGAGGUCCUGGGCUGCAGGAAGAACAGCCAUGAGGCCCUGUGGCUUUAAUAAAGGGAGUGAGGGCAGGUGCGGUGGCUCACGCCUAUAAUUCCGGCACUUUAGGUGGCCGAGGCAGGUGGAUCACCUGAGGUCAGGAGUUCAAAACCAGCCUAGCCAACAUGGUGAAACCCAUCUCUACUAAAGAUGCAAAAAUUAGCUGGGCAUGGUGGUGGGUGCCUGUAAUCCCAGCU